rnacentral:rRNA from 1 species
GACAGAGGGUGCAAACGUUGUUCGGAAUUACUGGGCGUAAAGCGUGUGUAGGCGGUCUGCUAAGUCGGGUGUGAAAGCCCUGGGCUCAACCCAGGAACUGCGUCCGAUACUGGUUGGCUUGAAUCCGGGAGAGGGAUGUGGAAUUCCAGGUGUAGCGGUGAAAUGCGUAGAUAUCUGGAGGAACACCGGUGGCGAAGGCGACAUCCUGGACCGGUAUUGACGCUGAGGCGCGAAAGCCAGGGGAGCAAACGGG